GUUAACCGGAACCGGGUCCGGGUCCGGGUCCGGUUAAGGGCAUUUCGAUUUCGUCUCCGCAAUCCAAGGGUGUUCCUCCAUCAUCAGUCGCUGAUUCUAAUGGCUAUAGAGAUAAGAGGGAUAGAAGCAGAGAUGACACAUUGACCACUGUCA